rnacentral:rRNA from 1 species
UACGAGAGGCCCAAACGUUAUUCGGAAUUACUGGGCUUAAAGAGUUCGUAGGCGGUAUGACAAGUAGGGUGUGAAAGCCCUCGGCUUAACCGAGGAAUUGCGCUCUAAACUGUCGUACUCGAGGAACCUAGAGGUGAGCAGAACAGAUGGUGGAGCGGUGAAAUGCAUUGAGAUCGGAAAGAACACCAACGGCGAAAGCACUCUGCUGGGCCGACACUGACACUGAGAGACGAAAGCUAGGGGAGCAAAUGGG